AAAGCACCACUGCCACCACCGUUAGCUCUCAUUCACACAAUGCUUUGACCAUUAACCACCCACAUCUCCACCUCCUCCUUCUCCUCCAAAAACCAAAAUGGGGACCUGCACAUCAAAGCCUCCCAAAGCCAACCCUUAUGCCUCCCAAAACGAACCUGUAAAUGAUCAGUCUAACCCGAACCAGACUCCUAUAUCUCCACUCGCACCGCUCCCUAACCCCAAACAGUCCCCUUUCUUCCCAUUCUAUACUCCGAGCCCUGCUUAUCCGUUCAAGAAAUCUCCUUCUGCCGAAUUCACACCGGCUAACUCCACUCCUACGCCGUUGCGGUUCUUUAAGAAG
rnacentral:misc_RNA from 1 species